AAUACAUUCUAAAAGGAUAGCUUGUCAUUAAAAGGACAGACCUGACAACCCUAUUCUAAGCUGAGCAUCCCGAGUGGAGACGAGUGUGGGUAAACGACAGAAAUCAAACGCGUCCAGUACAAAACGUACGACAUUUCGCUUAAUAUUUUUUUUUUCUUUUUUUACGUCGCGGCCUAUUGCGCCGGUAGGCUUCUUCCCGGUGGGACCUGAUGGUCGGCCCAAGGCUUCUUCCCGGUGGGUCCUGAUGGUCGGCCCAGCCCGUUCUGGCGCAGGCGAGUGUUUAUAGUGGCGCCAUCUUGCAUUGGCUCAUGCUGCCCUCCCGGAGCUCAUCUUUAAUCCUAGAAUCUAGAGUCCGGGUUGAUAGGUGGUCUUCUGGACAGCAUGUGGGUAGUUUUAAGCCACUCGGCGGCGGCUGAAAAAUCUCAUUGAUCUACAUAUUAAUAAUCCAUGCAAAACAUCACGAAACAUAACAUUUCAAAGAAAAAUCCCCGUCAUUUGAAAAGUCUUUCCAACAAAAGCUCACACAAAAAAUUUUACUCUCACAAAUUCGUGGGAAGUGGGUAGGUAUGAAGAUUAUGUGGGUAGGUAUGAGGAGUGGGAAGGUAUGAAGAUUAUGUGGGUAGGUAUGAGGAGUGGGAAGGUAUGAAGAUUAUGUGGGUAGGUAUGAGGAGUGGGAAGGUAUGAAGAUUAUGUGGGUAGGUAUGAGGAGUGGGUAGGUAUGAAGAUUAUGUGGGUAGGUAUGAGGAGUGGGUAGGUAUGAAGAUUAUGUGGGUAGGUAUGAGGAGUGGGUAGGUAUGAAGAUUAUGUGGGUAGGUAUGAGGAGUGGGUAGGUAUGAGGAGUGGGUAGGUAGGAAGAUUAUGUGGGUAGGUAUGAGGAGUGGGUAGGUAGGAAGAUUAUGUGGGUAGGUAGGAAGAUUAUGUGGGUAAGUAGGAAGCUGUUCUCGCCAAUGGCCGUCCACUGGGCUAUGG